rnacentral:rRNA from 1 species
UCCUACGGGGGGCUGCAGUGGGGAAUUUUGGACAAUGGGCGCAAGCCUGAUCCAGCCAUGCCGCGUGAGUGAAGAAGGCCUUCGGGUUGUAAAGCUCUUUCGGCCGGAACGAAAUCGUCCGGGCUAAUACCUCGGAUGGAUGACGGUACUGGAAGAAGAAGCACCGGCUAACUACGUGCCAGCAGCCGCGGUAAUACGUAGGGUGCAGGCGUUAAUCGGAAUUACUGGGCGUAAAGCGUGCGCAGGCGGCUUCCUAAGUCAGAUGUGAAAUCCCCGGGCUUAACCUGGGAACUGCGUUUGAAACUGGGAGGCUAGAGUGCGGCAGAGGGGGGUGGAAUUCCACGUGUAGCAGUGAAAUGCGUAGAUAUGUGGAGGAACACCGAUGGCGAAGGCAGCCCCCUGGGCCUGCACUGACGCUCAUGCACGAAAGCGUGGGGAGCAAACAGGAUUAGAUACCCGGGUAGUCCU